GCGGCGGUCGUCUAGCUGGACGGGACGUAGGAUGGCGGCCUUCCAAGCCGUUGAUCCCGGGUUCAAAUCCCGGCCGCCGCA
rnacentral:tRNA from 1 species